rnacentral:lncRNA from 10 species
UGCAUAUGCGUGUGGAAGACAGACUUUUAUCAUUGAUUUUUUUUAAAUAGGAAAACUAAACAACAACUAAAAACUUUCUUUCUUUUUUUUUUUGAGACGGAGUCUGGCUCUGUCUCCCAGGCUGGAGUGCAGUGGCGCGAUCUCGGCUCACUGCAAGCUCCGCCUCCCAGAUUCACGCCAUUCUCCUGCCUCAGCCUCCCGAGCAGCUGGGACUACAGGCACCCGCCACCACACCCGGCUACUUUUUUGUAUUUUUAGUAGAAAUGGGGUUUCACCGGGUUAGCCAGGAUGGUCUCGAUCCCUGACCUGGUGAUCCACCCGCCUCGGCCUCCCAAGGUACUGGGAUUACAGGCGUGAGCCACCGCGCCCGG